AACUCAGUAGCUCAGUUGGUAUAGCAGUGGGACAGAAUUCCCAAGUCGUGAGUUCAAUCCUCAUGUGGGAUC